rnacentral:rRNA from 1 species
GAUGAACGCUGGCGGCGUGCUUAACACAUGCAAGUCGAACGAAGCAUUCCCGGACGAGCCUUCGGGUGAGGAAAGGAAUGACUGAGUGGCGGACGGGUGAGUAACGCGUGGGUAACCUGCCGUAUGCAGGGGGACAACAGUUAGAAAUGACUGCUAAUACCGCAUAAGCGCACAGUAUUGCAUGAUACGGUGUGAAAAGAUUUAUCGGCAUACGAUGGACCCGCGUCUGAUUAGCUGGUUGGUGAGGUAACGGCUCACCAAGGCGACGAUCAGUAGCCGACUUGAGAGAGUGAUCGGCCACAUUGGGACUGAGACACGGCCCAAA